rnacentral:rRNA from 1 species
CAGCCGCCGCGGUAAUACGUAGGUCCCGAGCGUUGUCCGGAUUUAUUGGGCGUAAAGCGAGCGCAGGCGGUUAGAUAAGUCUGAAGUUAAAGGCUGUGGCUUAACCAUAGUACGCUUUGGAAACUGUUUAACUUGAGUGCAAGAGGGGAGAGUGGAAUUCCAUGUGUAGCGGUGAAAUGCGUAGAUAUAUGGAGGAACACCGGUGGCGAAAGUGGCUCUCUGGCUUGUAACUGACGCUGAGGCUCGAAAGCGUGGGGAGCAAACAGGAUUAGAUACCCGCGUAGUCCCUGUCUCUUAUACA